rnacentral:rRNA from 1 species
GAUGAACGCUGGCGGCGUGCCUAAUACAUGCAAGUCGAGCGAACGGACGAGAAGCUUGCUUCUCUGAUGUUAGCGGCGGACGGGUGAGUAACACGUGGAUAACCUACCUAUAAGACUGGGAUAACUUCGGGAAACCGGAGCUAAUACCGGAUAAUAUUUUGAACCGCAUGGUUCAAAAGUGAAAGACGGUCUUGCUGUCACUUAUAGAUGGAUCCGCGCUGCAUUAGCUAGUUGGUAAGGUAACGGCUUACCAAGGCAACGAUGCAUAGCCGACCUGAGAGGGUGAGCGGCCACACUGGAACUGAGACACGUUCCAGACUCCUACGGGAGGCAGCAGUAGGGAAUCUUCCGCAAAUGGCGAAAGCCUGACGGAGCAACGCCGCGUGAGUGAUGAAGGUCUUCUGAUCGUAAAACUCUGUUAUUAGGGAAGAACAUAUGUGUAAGUAACUGUGCACAUCUUGACGGUACCUAAUCAGAAAGCCACGGCUAACUACGUG